rnacentral:rRNA from 1 species
UACGUAGGGUGCGAGCGUUGUCCGGAAUUAUUGGGCGUAAAGAGCUCGUAGGCGGUGUGUUACGUCGGCCGUGAAAACCUGCAGCUUAACUGUGGGCGUGCGGUCGAUACGGGCAUCACUGGAGUUCGGCAGGGGAGACUGGAAUUCCUGGUGUAGCGGUGAAAUGCGCAGAUAUCAGGAGGAACACCGGUGGCGAAGGCAGCCCCCUGGGCUGAGAUUGACGCUCAGGCACGAAAGCGUGGGGAGCAAACAGG